UACAGAGGUGCCGAGCGUUAGGCGGAAUCACUGGGCUUAAAGCGCGUGUAGGCGGGUCGUUAAGUGUCCGCGUGAAAUCCCACGGCUCAACCGUGGAACUGCCGGGCAUACUGGCGAUCUUGAGGCACCCAGGGGCGAGCGGAACAAAUGGUGGAGCGGUGAAAUGCGUAGAUAUCAUUUGGAACGCCGACGGUGAAAACAGCUCGCUGGGGGUGUCCUGACGCUGAGACGCGAAAGCCAGGGGAGCGAACGGG
rnacentral:rRNA from 1 species